UACGUAGGGGGCGAGCGUUGUCCGGAAUCAUUGGGCGUAAAGCGCGUGUAGGCGGCUCGAUAAGUCCGGUGGGAAACCUUGGGGCUCAACCCCAAGCCUGCACUGGAUACUGCCGAGCUAGAGUCCGGGAGGGGAGAGCGGAAUUCCUAGUGUAGCGGUGAAAUGCGCAGAUAUUAGGAAGAACACCGGUGGCGAAGGCGGCUCUCUGGAACGGUACUGACGCUGAGACGUGAAAGCGUGGGGAGCGAACAGG
rnacentral:rRNA from 1 species